rfam:Stegodyphus mimosarum contig46715, whole genome shotgun sequence.
GCCUUCGUGGUGUAGUGGUCAGCACGCUCGACGCGUAACCGAGAGGUCCGUGGUUCGAUUCGUGGCGAAGGCU